CGUGUAGGCGGCCUGAUAAGUAUGAAGUGAAAGUCCUGCUUUCAAGGUGGGAAUUGCUUUGUAGACUGUCGGGCUUGAGUGCGGAAGAGGUAAGUGGAAUUCCCAGUGUAGCGGUGAAAUGCGUAGAGAUUGGGAGGAACACCAGUGGCGAAGGCGACUUACUGGGCCGUAACUGACGCUGAGGCGCGAAAGCGUGGGGAGCGAACA
rnacentral:rRNA from 1 species